UACGUAGGGUGCGAGCGUUGUCCGGAAUUACUGGGCGUAAAGAGCUCGUAGGUGGUUUGUCGCGUUGUCCGUGAAAACUCACAGCUCAACUGUGGGCGUGCGGGCGAUACGGGCAGACUGGAGUACUGCAGGGGAGACUGGAAUUCCUGGUGUAGCGGUGGAAUGCGCAGAUAUCAGGAGGAACACCCGUGGCGAAGGCGGCUCUCUGGGACGGUACUGACGCUGAGGAGCGAAAGCAUGGGGAGCGAACAGG
rnacentral:rRNA from 1 species